AUUGAACGCUGGCGGCAUGCCUUACACAUGCAAGUCGAACGGCAGCACGGGAGCAAUCCUGGUGGCGAGUGGCGAACGGGUGAGUAAUAUAUCGGAACGUGCCCAGUCGUGGGGGAUAACGCAGCGAAAGCUGUGCUAAUACCGCAUACGAUCUAUGGAUGAAAGCGGGGCAACUCGCGCCAUAAGAUCGGUCCGCGUCCUAUCAGCUAGUUGGUGGGGUAAUGGCCUACCAAGGCGAAGACGGGUAACUGGUCUGAGAGGACGACCAGUCACACUGGGACUGAGACACGGCCCAGACUCCUACGGGAGGCAGCAGUGGGGAAUAUUGGUCAAUGGGCGAAAGCCUGAACCAGCAAUGCCGCGUGGGUGAUGAAGGCCUUCGGGUUGUAAAGCCCUGUCAGUGGGAAAGAAAAAGCCGGUUAACAGCCGGACUUGACGGUACCCACAAAGGAAGCACCGGCUAACUCUGUGCCAGCAGCCGCCGUAA
rnacentral:rRNA from 1 species